rnacentral:rRNA from 1 species
UCGGGAAUUUUGCGCAAUGGGGGAAACCCUGACGCAGCAAUACCGCGUGUGGGAUGAAGGCCUUCGGGUCGUAAACCACUUUUCUCGGGGACGAUAAUGGCGGUACCCGAGGAAUAAGCCACGGCCAACCACGUGCCAGGAGCCGCGGGGAAACGCAGGGGGCAAGGGCUGUGCGGUCUUACUGGGCGGAACGCGCGCGCAGGGGGGGGGUGAAAUCGAGAGGGAAAGCACCGGGCUCAACCACGGGAC